rnacentral:rRNA from 1 species
UGGAGGAAGGUGGGGAUGACGUCAAGUCAUCAUGGCCCUUACGGCCAGGGCUACACACGUGCUACAAUGGUCGGUACAAAGGGUUGCCAAGCCGCGAGGUGGAGCUAAUCCCAUAAAACCGAUCGUAGUCCGGAUCGCAGUCUGCAACUCGACUGCGUGAAGUCGGAAUCGCUAGUAAUCGUGAAUCAGAAUGUCACGGUGAAUACGUUCCCGGGCCUUGUACACACCGCCCGUCACACCAUGGGAGUGGGUUGCUCCAGAAGUAGCUAGUCUAACCGCAAGGGGGACGGUUACCACGGAGUGAUUCAUGACNGGGGNGAAGUCGUAACA